AUACGUAGGGGGCGAGCGUUAUCCGGAAUUAUUGGGCGUAAAGAGUACGUAGGCGGUUCUGUAAGCGUGAGGUGAAAGCCCGGGGCUUAACUCCGGUAAGCCUUUCGAACUGCAGGACUUGAGUGCUGGAGGGGAAAGUGGAAUUCCUAGUGUAGCGGUGAAAUGCGCAGAUAUCAGGAGGAACACCGGUGGCGAAGGCGGGUCUCUGGGCAGUAACUGACGCUGAGGAGCGAAAGCAUGGGUAGCGAACAGGAUUAGAUACCCUGGUAGUCCAUGCCGUAAACGGUGGGCGCUAGGUGUAGGGGUCUUCCACGCCUUCUGUGCCGUAGCUAACGCAUUAAGCGCCCCGCCUGGGGAGUACGGCCGCAAGGCUAAAACUCAAAGGAAUUGACGGG
rnacentral:rRNA from 1 species